rnacentral:rRNA from 1 species
UACGUAGGGCGCGAGCGUUAUCCGGAAUUAUUGGGCGUAAAGAGCUUGUAGGCGGUUUGUCGCGUCUGCUGUGAAAAUCCGGGGCUCAACCCCGGACUGCAGUGGGUACGGGCAGACUAGAGUGUGGUAGGGGGAGACUGGAAUUCCUGGUGUAGCGGUGGAAUGCGCAGAUAUCAGGAGGAACACCGGUGGCGAAGGCGGGACUCUGGGCAUGUCCUGACGCUGAGGAGCGAAAGUGUGGGGAGCGAACAGG